UUCAGGAAGCACAGCCAUGAAGCUGCAUGCGUCUGUGUGUGGAUGCCUCAUGCCUUUUCCUGGUGGUUUGCAGGCAUGGAAGAUUCUUCUGUUCAUCUAAGCUCCUGACUUUAGGCCCUUCUAGAACAUUAGAGAGGAGAAGAAAUCACGUGCAAGGAUUUAGGGACAAGAGGAUGAGGUUUUGGUGUUUCCUUUCUGGUAUUAGGUUUUCCAGAGAGAGGCUGUUAGCCUGUCUCUCGCCCACUCCACCACUGUGAAUCCUGGCUACUGGGGCUAGUUCCUUGCUAGGAAAAAAAAACUCUAGAGAAAUGUGUUUGUGUGUGGUGGGUGGGCGGGGGCCCUGAGGAUGCAGGGACUGUGUCUGCUGUGUUGUCUGUUAUAAGAUGUUUCAGACCUAUUUUGCAUACUGGCAGCGACAAGUUGAGACUUGUUCAACUUGACACAGUCCUGUGGUCAUAGCGAAUCUUUCUAAAGCUCUGAUCAGUCAAGAAGGGGGUUGUAUCAAUCCUCAGAACCCUGAGUGGAACUUUCUACAGGAUUUAUUAGGAGAAAAACCUUCCCGGAAGCUGCAGAAGGACAAAUACAGAAUCCGUGUCUGGGAGAAACCUCGUGGCCUGGUCUCCAUUAUUUGAGAUGAGUUACAUCUUGGAGGUGAGGACGUGCCUCGUGGUCUAAAGCUUCGGCACAAGGGCCCAACUGGAAUUCCACUUACGGGACCAUAGCUGUCUGCAGUGCAGGAAGCCAACUAUUAAGGGGAAACAAAAGUGUUCUUAGGAGUCCUGCUGUCACUGUGGAUUGAGCCGGUGAAGCCCUGAGGGAUUUCAUCGCUGAGGUGGAUGGAGAAGCAGCUGGGGGCCUUGGCUGUAAGGACCCCUAAGGGCCUGAUCUUUUGGCCAGAAGGAGAUUAAAAAGAUGCCCCUCAAGAUGGCUGUGCCUGUCAGCUGCAUGGAGCUUCGUUCAAGUAUUUUCUGAGCCUGAUGGAUUUACAGUGAUCUUCAGUGGUCUGGGGAAUAACGCUGGUGGAACCAUGCACUGGAAUGACACACGCCCGGCACAUUUCAGGAUACUAAAAGUGGUUUUAAGGGAGGCUGUGGCUGAAUGCCUCAUGGAUUCUUACAGCUUGGAUGUCCAUGGGGGACGAAGGACUGCAGCUGGCUGAGAGGGUUGAGAUCUCUGUUUACUUAGAUCUCUGCCAACUUCCUUUGGGUCUCCCUAUGGAAUGUAAGACCCCGACUCUUCCUGGUGAAGCAUCUGAUGCACGUUCCAUCCGGCGCUCAGCUGGGCUUGAGCUGACCAUACUCCCUGGAGCCUUCUCCCGAGGUGCGCGGGUGACCUUGGCACAUACAGCCAUCAUGAUGGUACUUUAAGUGGAGGCUGAAUCAUCUCCCCUUUGAGCUGCUUGGCACGUGGCUCCCUUGGUGUUCCCCUUUUACUGCCAGGACACUGAGAUUUGGAGAGAAUCCUGUUACACCUGGGAUUUAGGCACUUUCAAUCUGAAAAAAUACAUAUCCUUUCAGCACUCUGGACGGACUUGAGAACUGUCCUUACGUGACCUAAAGCUGGAGUAUUUUGAGAUUGGAGAAUUAAGGCCUUCAGUGGGUUGAAUGAGGCCCAACCCACAUUGAAGAGGACCAUCUGCUUUACUCAGUCUCCUGGUUGAAGUGAUAAUCUCAUCUGGACAUACUCAGAAAUGCUGUUUAACCAGCUCUCUGGAAAUCCUGUGGCCCAGUCAAGUUGACACACAAAAUUAACCAUCACACUGCAGAGACACAGUCUAUCCCAAUACCUGUAUUUACUGGAGUGUGGGCACCCUGGCUUCAAGCUCACGAGAAACCAGGUCGGGAUUUAAACAAUGUUGGGUUAAAGCAAAGUUUCAUAAAGACAGAAUCAAGAAAAAAAGAAAGAGAAA
ensembl:lncRNA PVT1 Pvt1 oncogene